rnacentral:rRNA from 1 species
GAUGAACGCUGGCGGCGUGCCUAAUACAUGCAAGUAGAACGCUGAAGGAGGAGCUUGCUCUUCUGGAUGAGUUGCGAACGGGUGAGUAACGCGUAGGUAACCUGCCUGGUAGCGGGGGAUAACUAUUGGAAACGACAGCUAAUACCGCAUGACAACAGUUAUUGCAUGAUAACUGUUUAAAAGGGGCAACUGCUCCACUACCAGAUGGACCUGCGUUGUAUUAGCUAGUUGGUGAGGUAACGGCUCACCAAGGCGACGAUACAUAGCCGACCUGAGAGGGUGAUCGGCCACACUGGGACUGAGACACGGCCCAGACUCCUACGGGAGGCAGCAGUAGGGAAUCUUCGGCAAUGGACGGAAGUCUGACCGAGCAACGCCGCGUGAGUGAAGAAGGUUUUCGGAUCGUAAAGCUCUGUUGUAAGAGAAGAACGAGUGUGAGAGUGGAAAGUUCACACUGUGACGGUAUCUUACCAGAAAGGGACGGCUAACUACGUG